rnacentral:rRNA from 1 species
UAAUACCCAAUGGUGAUGGAUGGGGAUGCGUCUGAUUAGCUUGUUGGCGGGGUAACGGCCCACCAAGGCUACGAUCAGUAGGGGUUCUGAGAGGAAGGUCCCCCACAUUGGAACUGAGACACGGUCCAAACUCCUACGGGAGGCAGCAGUGAGGAAUAUUGGUCAAUGGGCGAGAGCCUGAACCAGCCAAGUAGCGUGCAGGAUGACGGCCUAUGGGUUGUAAGCUGCUUUUAUAAGGGAACAUGUACCUUAUGAAUAAGGACCGGCUAAUUCCGUGCCAGCAGCCGCGGUAAUACGGAAGGUCCGGGCGUUAUCCGGAUUUAUUGGGUUUAAAGGGAGCGUAGGCCGGAGAUUAAGCGUGUUGUGAAAUGUAGACGCUCAACGUCUGCACUGCAGCGCGAACUGGUUUCCUUGAGUACGCACAAAGUGGGCGGAAUUCGUGGUGUAGCGGUGAAAUGCUUAGAUAUCAUGAAGAACUCCGAUUGCGAAGGCAGCUCACUGGAGCGCAACUGACGCUGAAGCUCGAAAGUGCGGGUAUCGAACAGGAUUAGAUACCCUGGUAGUCCGCACGGUAAACGAUGGAUGCCCGCUUUGGUAGCGGCC